UCCCUUAGUAACGGCGAGUGAGGAGGGANGAGCUCAAAUUUUAAUCUGCCUUGUUCCANGGUCGAGUUGUAAUUUGAAGAAGCGUUUUCUUGGGCUCGCGGCCGGUAGAAGUUCUUUGGAACAGGACAUCAUAGAGGGUGACAAUCCCGUCCGUGACCGGUCGUGCGUUCAUCUACGAUACGCUUUCAAAGAGUCGAGUUGUUUGGGAUUGCAGCUCCAAACGGGUGGUAAACAUCACCUAAGGCUAAAUAUUGGCGAGAGACCGAUAGCGAACAAGUACCGUGAGGGAAAGAUGAAAAGAACUUUGAAAAGAGAGUUAAACAGUACGUGAAAUUGUUGAAAGGGAAACGAUUGAAGUCAGUCGUGCUGGCGCGAAAUCAACCCUCUCGUCKUCAGAUCACAUGCUGUGGCGAGCCUCAAAACCGCCACANCGUGUGACYUCCGAUGARAGGGAGCACUUUCGUGUCCGCUGGUUAACAUCAAUUUCGAACGUCAUAAAAAGGCUGGAGGGAUGUGGCUCCUUUGGGAGUGUUAUAACCUUUAGCGGAAUGUGGUGUUCGGGAUUGAGGAUUGCAACGAAUACCUUCNGGGCUGUUCCACCUGGCUUCUCAUUGGUAUCCUGGUGACGACAGCUUGCUGACGUCGUUAGGAUUCGCCUCUGAACAGGCUAGAGUGUGAGCAAAUCGUAA
rnacentral:rRNA from 1 species